GACGAACGCUGGCGGCGUGCCUAAUACAUGCAAGUUGAGCGCUGAAGGUUGGUACUUGUACCAACUGGAUGAGCAGCGAACGGGUGAGUAACGCGUGGGGAAUCUGCCUUUGAGCGGGGGACAACAUUUGGAAACGAAUGCUAAUACCGCAUAAAAACUUUAAACACAAGUUUUAAGUUUGAAAGAUGCAAUUGCAUCACUCAAAGAUGAUCCCGCGUUGUAUUAGCUAGUUGGUGAGGUAAAGGCUCACCAAGGCGAUGAUACAUAGCCGACCUGAGAGGGUGGUUGGGCACAAUGGGACCGAGACACGGCCCAAACUCCUACGGGAGGCAGCAGUAGGGAAUUUUCGGCAAUGGACGAAAGGCUGACCGAGCAACGCCGGGGGAGUGAAGAAGGUUUUCGGAUCGUAAAACUCUGUUGGUAGAGAAGAACGUUGGGGAGAGUGGAAAGCUCAUCAAGUGACGGUAACUACCCAGAAAGGGACGGCUAACUACGUG
rnacentral:rRNA from 1 species